ensembl:lncRNA
CCCUAGUAGAAUCCCUACUAGAUGGAUGAAAAACUAAAAGAUAGAUAGACAGACAGACAGACAGAUACAGUAGAUAGAUACAUGUUUAUUAUUUCUAAUAACUGAGCACCCAUUACCCAUUACCUUACUUACUAUCAAUAAGUUAAUAGUUAAUAGUGAAUGUAUUCCCUAAUCUAAAGUGUUACUGGUUAAUUUGUACAAUUUAUAAAUGUAUACAUUUGAACACGUUCAAAGGUUUACGCUUUACAUGCUGUCAGUAUGUUCAAAUUGUAAUGUUCAGUCUCUAUACAAACACUCAAAAACGUAUGUGUACACUUUACAUACAAAUGCCUACAAAUACAAAUGAGAUAUCACUGGAUGACAGACCUUAACAGACAUUAACUUACCACCAUCUUCACAGCUCUGUGUGUUGUAGGACACUAUGGGGUUCUACUUGCAUUGCCUUGAGCUUGUUCUGCAGGUGGUGAGGUAGAAAGGUGUUGAAGGCCCUACAGAAGAAAAGGAUCAGUCCUGACAGUAGUGCCAGACGUAGCAGGUGGAAGCAGGACCUGUUGAGAAAGCAGAUGAGGGCAUCGUCCACACUGGUGUGGGACCGGGUCAGAGCUGUUUAAGGACCAACCUCUCAAAGGUUCUCAUGAUGCGUGAAGUGAGACAAACUGAUCUGCUGCCAGGGAGCCCUGGAAACGCUCAGUGUUCUCCAGAGUUGGGGCACCUUCAUCAAACUCAACAACAACAGCUGCACAAGAGAGUCACAUCUGUUGAAGAUAUGAUUCAGCUCAUUUUCUCCUCCACACAAGUCUGGAUUGAUGUCACGGUAGCAGACAUUCUAACCAGUUUAAGCUGCCAUUAUAUCUGGGCUUUUGAAAACAAUGCAAAGCGGAACACCACAGGUGCAAAUGCAUGCAACACAGUCGGUGAUAUUUGCUAUUUUUGCUUUUGCUACAACUGGGGGUUAUUUUGGUUCUACCAGUUUCAACAUUAAGUGCAAGGACAGUGCCAGCAAAGAAACAGAUGUAUCCUUCAGCUAUCCUUUUAGGGGCAAACUGAACCAUUCCAGCCAAACCUUGACCCCACAGAUUCUCUCACCAGUGAGUGCAGAACGAGCAAGGAGAUUGAAAACCUUGAGUCGAUCUUGACAG